rnacentral:rRNA from 1 species
AAGUCGUAACAAGGUCUCCGUUGGUGAACCAGCGGAGGGAUCAUUACAGAAGGUCUAGCGCCUGAAAACCAUUGUGAACCGUUCCAUUUGCUGCCUCGGCGGGCGAUCCCAGGGCGGGAUCGCGGCCCCCACGGGGGCGCCCGCCGGAGCGCGACACCUCCAGCUCUGUAUUCUCCAGCGGGCUUCUGAGUGAAGAAAAAAAACAAUCAAAACUUUCAACAACGGAUCUCUUGGCUCUGGCAUCGAUGAAGAACGCAGCGAAAUGCGAUAAGUAAUGUGAAUUGCAGAAUUCAGUGAAUCAUCGAAUCUUUGAACGCACAUUGCGCCCCUUGGUAUUCCGGGGGGCAUGCCUGUUCGAGCGUCAUUAUAACCCUCAAGCCUAGCUUGGUGUUGGAGCAUGCUACCUAGCAGCUCUUAAAAUCAGUGGCAGUGCCCUUCGGCUCUAAGCGUAGUAACUUCUCUCGCUAUGGAAACCGGGUGGUAUGCGCCAAAACCCCCAACUUUCUAAGGUUGACCUCGGAUCAGGUAGG